rnacentral:tRNA from 1 species
GUCUUAGAAGCUGACAGCGACCUAUUUUGUAAGUAGGGGGAGGCCAGUUAAAUCCUGGUUUAAGACU